UACGUAGGGGGCAAGCGUUGUCCGGAAUUAUUGGGCGUAAAGAGCGUGUAGGCGGUCCGGUAAGUCAGCUGUGAAAGUCAAGGGCUCAACCCUUGAAUGCCGGUUGAUACUGUCGGGCUAGAGUCCGGAAGAGGCGAGUGGAAUUCCCGGUGUAGCGGUGAAAUGCGCAGAUAUCGGGAGGAACACCAAUGGCGAAGGCAGCUCGCUGGGACGGUACUGACGCUGAGACGCAAAAGCGUGGGGAGCAAACAGG
rnacentral:rRNA from 1 species